rnacentral:rRNA from 1 species
AGAUUGAACGCUGGCGGCAUGCCUUACACAUGCAAGUCGAACGGCAGCACGGGAGCAAUCCUGGUGGCGAGUGGCGAACGGGUGAGUAACAUAUCGGAACGUACCCAGUAGUGGGGGGAUAGCCCGGCGAAAGCCGGAUUAAUACCGCAUACGACCUAUGGGUGAAAGCGGGGGAUCGCAAGGACCUCGCGCUAUUGGAGCGGCCGAUAUCAGAUUAGCUAGUUGGCGGGUAAGAGCCCACCAAGGCGACGAUCUGUAGCUGGUCUGAGAGGACGACCAGCCACACUGGGACUGAGACACGGCCCAGACUCCUACGGGAGGCAGCAGUGGGAAUUUUGGACAAGUGGGCGCGAAGCCGUGACUCCGAGUCCGAUGCCCGCGGUGGUAGGGAAGAAGGCCUUGGUAGUAACC